rnacentral:rRNA from 1 species
UACGAAGGGGGCUAGCGCUGUUCGGAAUUACUGGGCGUAAAGCGCACGUAGGCGGAUUGCUAAGUCAGGGGUGAAAUCCUGGAGCUCAACUCCAGAACUGCCUUUGAUACUGGCGACCUUGAGUCCGGGAGAGGUGAGUGGAACUGCGAGUGUAGAGGUGAAAUUCGUAGAUAUUCGCAAGAACACCAGUGGCGAAGGCGGCUCACUGGCCCGGUACUGACGCUGAGGUGCGAAAGCGUGGGGAGCAAACAGG